rnacentral:rRNA from 1 species
GAUGGUACAGGGACGUCGCUCCCAACCCCUGUGACAUACCUAUACGUUGCCUCGGCGGAUCAGCCCGCGCCCCGUAAAACGGGACGGCCCGCCCGAGGACCCCUAAACUCUGUUUUUAGUGGAACUUCUGAGUAAAACAAACAAAUAAAUCAAAACUUUCAACAACGGAUCUCUUGGUUCUGGCAUCGAUGAAGAACGCAGCAAAAUGCGAUAAGUAAUGUGAAUUGCAGAAUUCAGUGAAUCAUCGAAUCUUUGAACGCACAUUGCGCCCGCCAGUAUUCUGGCGGGCAUGCCUGUUCGAGCGUCAUUUCAACCCUCAAGCUCAGCUUGGUGUUGGGACUCGCGGUAACCCGCGUUCCCCAAAUCGAUUGGCGGUCACGUCGAGCUUCCAUAGCGUAGUAAUCAUACACCUCGUUACUGGUAAUCGUCGCGGCCACGCCGUAAAACCCCAACUUCUGAAUGUUGACCUCGGAUCAGGUAGGAAUACCCGCUGAACUUAAGCAUAUCAAUAAGCGGAGGA